UGUUAAGAUUCAUAAUUUCUAUGAGUGAAAGAGUCAAAUUGAUAUGUAUGCAGGUGGUGGCUCUGAAAGAAUGCAUGCCUAGGCUGGGAGAUUCAAUUUGUUCAUGUGCUCAUAGUACAAAGCUGAAUAGUCAUAUGCUCAUAGUCGAGUAUUUUAUCAAAUUUGCAAGUAAAUUCACAUUAUGUUUGUUAAUUUCCCCCAAAAAUCUUAAGUUGUCUGAUUCAUUCAGUAUGAAUUUUGGUUAUUGUUCAGACAAUUUUGGGUCUACCCUGUUUUGGAAUUCAUGCUGCUUGUUGUUUCAGUUCGAAUUCAUGUGGACCUGUUUGAGUUUAGCUGGAAUGCUGGACGCUUCAAAGGGGACCCUAGGGAGAGCUGCCGCUGCGAUGCAGAUAAAGAAGGUCACUUGCAACGGUAACUAAACUAUAUAUCCAGAAGCUCACUUGCAAAUAUAAAGAAGCUCACUUGCAACGCUGUCAUUUUGAUGAUGGGAUCAGCUCACGGCAUUGAGAAAUGUUACAGUGUCCUUUGGAUGAUCUUGAAUUGAUAUGCAUCCAUAAGUACAUAAAAAUGCUAAUCAGUUGGACUCAGACGGCGCGGAGGACUCGAGCGGCGCAGUCACCGGAAUUAGCACGAGCAGAGGCAGAGGUCGGCGGCGCGGAGGACUCGACGAUGGCAGGCCGAUUUGCUCCCCUAAGCGAUGGCCGCGUGUGCGCACUGCAGUGACAUCUAUGGCCAGUUCUACGACCUGAUCGAGCUCUUCCAACGUCUCUCUCUCUGAUUGUUUUUGUUAAGUCUUGAAACUACCCUAUGAGUGUUGAGCUGGAAUACAUAAAAGAAAAGAAAGCUACGCUGGAAGGCGGCUGUCGAACCAUUUCAUCUUGCUAGCAUUGUCCAAGCAUAAAUCUUAACACCCCAAUAACUGUGUCAUGUUAUUAUGCUUUUGAUUAGUCAAUUUGGGUAUCUGUUGACUGACUUCAAACUCAAUUUUAUGCGGAUGAGAGGUUAAUGUUCAGCAUAUUUAUUUUUUUAAUGAAAAUGAAUGCAUUUCUUUAAAAGUGUUUUCAUGCCUUCUCACCCAUUGCGAGUGUGUACUGUCUAUAUGAAGUAUGCUCAUAAUUUUUCAAAGAGUUAGAAGAGAUGGCUCAGUUGAAGUUAUUGUUUUCACCAACACUCUGAAGUUCUUUUUUAACAUUGUAGAUGUGCAUUCCUCAUGUUAUAGGUGUUACCACUGUGUAUAUAUAUGCAAACUUGCUAGCAGAAAAAAAACAGAGCUUAAUAGUAAGAGGAGGAAAGCCUGCCAUUAAAAAAAAUGCCCAGAUUGCAGUUACUAACAAUAGUAUCAAACCACCAGGUACCUUGUCCUUCCAAUAAACUUGCAAAUAUGUCAGGUUAAGAAGCCGCUGACUCAAAUGUCUUUACUGUAGGUGUCAUCCUUACUGAACCAAACAAAUACAGAAAAUGGCGCCAUGGGACAAUGAGAUUGUGAGCAAUGGAACGUCUGAUUUUUAUGAUAGUUGACUGCAUUGUAACAAUCCUUUUGAAAGGGCACAAAUAGUAGUUUGAUGUAAUCUAAUCACUUUUAAAUAAUUGGACUUUAAAAACAUACAUCUGUCAUGUGCUGAUAUGGAAAUGGAGAGUCUACUCAGGGAUUCAGGGAUGGAAGGCACCGGGAGAAAGGAGUGAGUGAGGGUUUGUUGCUCUCUGCCAUAGUGCUACGCAUAUGUUCAUAAGAGCUAUUCAUUUAUUUUUCGAGUCUUGGCAAUUUUUUGGUGAUAUUGCAAAAUACCAGUGAAAUAUUUGUAUA